GGAAGGAUGGCCGAGCGGUCGAAGGCAGCGGUCUUGAAAACCGCCAAUGGGAAACCAUUCUAGAGUUCGAAUCUCUAUCCUUCCGCCA
rnacentral:tRNA from 1 species